AUUGAACGCUGGCGGCAGGCCUAACACAUGCAAGUCGAGCGGAUGAAGGGAGCUUGCUCCUGGAUUCAGCGGCGGACGGGUGAGUAAUGCCUAGGAAUCUGCCUGGUAGUGGGGGAUAACGUCCGGAAACGGGCGCUAAUACCGCAUACGUCCUGAGGGAGAAAGUGGGGGAUCUUCGGACCUCACGCUAUCAGAUGAGCCUAGGUCUGAUUAGCUAGUUGGUGGGGUAAAGGCCUACCAAGGCGACGAUCCGUAACUGGUCGGGGAGGCUGAUCAGUCACACGGGAGCUGAGACGCCCCCCACACUCCUGCGGGAGGCACCAGGCGGGAAUUUGGGACAAUGGGCGAAAUCUUGACACAACCAGGGCGCGUGUGUGAAAAAGGUUUUCGGUUUUUAAAACUCUUUUAUUGGGGAGAAAGGGCUUUAGAUUAUACCCUGCUUUUUUUGACGGUACCAACUAAAAAAGCACCGGCUAACUUCGUG
rnacentral:rRNA from 1 species